UUAGAAAUUAAGCAAAGUCCCAAACAGGAGAGGGGCAUCUGGCAGACCGGGGCAAGUCAUUUGACCAGUGGAAAUAAUUCAAACUGAGGUUGAAUUCAAGUAAGUGCACUAUCAGAGUGCGGUCCGGUAAGAUGUUGGGGUUCAUUGGAAGAGAGGAAUCGAGGUUGAUCCUGCUAAAAAAAAAAUAAAAAAAAUAUGCCUGAACCGAGAAUAAAGAAAGAGGUUCGUGGUCUAUUAGGUAGAUUGAGCUACAUGUCAUGGUUCACAUCUCAUCUGACAGCCACGUGGGAACCCAUUCAAG
rnacentral:lncRNA from 1 species